GAUGAAGAACGUAGCGAAAUGCGAUAAGUAAUGUGAAUUGCAGAAUUCAGUGAAUCAUCGAAUCUUUGAACGCACAUUGCGCCCGCCAGUAUUCUGGCGGGCAUGCCUGUUCGAGCGUCAUUUCAACCAUCAAGCCCCAGGCUUGUGUUGGGGACCUGCGGCUGCCACAGGCCCUGAAAACCAGUGGCGGGCUCGCUGUCACACCGGGCGUAGUAGAUUUUAUCUCGCUCAGGGCGUGCUGCGGGUUCCGGCCGUUAAAAAGCCUUUUUUACCCAAGGUUGACCUCGGAUCAGGUAGGAAGACCCGCUGAACUUAAGCAUAUCAAUAAGCGGAGGA
rnacentral:misc_RNA from 1 species